AAUAAAUAAAUAUUUUGAAAAAUUGUAAAUAAGGAUAAAAAUAAGAUACUCAAAAAUAUUUUUUUGAACCGCGUACAUAGUUGCAGUUGUUUGGAAGUUGUGUCGUUAAACAGACGGUAUUUCGGAACUAAAUUUUUUUUUGUGAUUUUUUCAAUUAAAAAAUGCUGACUGUGAUGAUGUGGAUGACUGUGAAAAAAAGACAUAUGUGAAGAUCUAUUUGAUAUGUUCGAUAAAGUGACAGAAAUGCCUAUAAAGAAAAAGAAAAGGCAAUGGGUAAAGGUAUGGAGAGAAAAAAGAUCAGUAAACGGUUCGCAUUCAUUUUUAAUAAAGGAACUACUCUCGUUCGAUAAAAAUGAGUAUAAAAAUUACAAUAUAUAAGAAUGUCAGAAAAUCAAUUUAGUUUUAUACUCUCGCAGUAAAUUAAGAUUUAUUAAAACAGGAUACUAGGAUGCGUGCAGUAAUUUCUUCAGCGGAAAAACUAUCGCUGACUCCACGUUUUCUAGACACAGUUUCCAAGCAGUUCUUCCGAGUGGGUUUCUAUAGCCAGUGAAUUUGCGAUAAGAUGGCAAUUUCCAAAUUGUCUAGGCACAUAACCUUUAGGCCGUCGCGAAAAGAUGGAUCGUUUUAUUACAACUAUAAAGGCACAAAUAGCAUAAUUUUUAUUUUUGUGGAUAUAGGUUGUAACGGCCGAUGUAACGAUGCAGGAGUGUUCUUGUAAAGUAAACUUUCGGAGGUGCGAGAAGAGAGGGGUUUACCAACAAAUUCUACAAUAGGAAAUACUAGAUGUCUCCCAUAUAUGAUGCUUAGCGAUUUUAAUUCGCGUCUUUCUCGCGCCAGACAUGUUGUUGGGCAUUCCUUCGGGAUUCUGGCAAACAGAUUCCGAAUCUUAAUUGCUCCAAUAAAUUUAAAAGUAGAGUCUGCUUGCUGUGUUUUGCACAACUUUUUUGGAACAAGCAAUAACAGUGGGUUGAACUCAUUGCUUUUGCAACCUAUGGAUCUCCGGAUGUUACUGGUAGUAACAACAAUCCGCGGAGAGGAGGAGCAGAAGAUUUUCGACAAGAAUUAAUGGCAUACUCUAACACCGAAGGAAAAGUUGAUUGGGAGCUAUAAUUGUUGUUUAGCAGUAUUCAAUGUAAUAUAAUUGAAUUUUAAUAAAUAUGGAGAUAUUUUUACUCUUUUAUAUUUACAUAAAAAUA